rnacentral:rRNA from 1 species
CGUGAGUAACCUGCCUUGGAGUGGGGAAUAACACAGUGAAAAUUGUGCUAAUACCGCAUAAUGCAUUUGGAUCGCAUGGUUCUGAAUGCCAAAGAUUUAUCGCUCUGAGAUGGACUCGCGUCUGAUUAGCUAGUUGGUGAGGUAACGGCCCACCAAGGCGACGAUCGGUAGCCGGACUGAGAGGUUGAACGGCCACAUUGGGACUGAGACACGGCCCAG